AAAAAAAAAGCUUCAGUCCCUUCAUCGUCAUCACUAGCUGCCCUCUCAUCCACAAACCACCGGCGACGACGACCACUCCUCCUCUCUCUCUCUCUCUCUCUCUCUCUCUCUCUCUCUCUCCCCCUUUGGGUGACCCAUUGUCUCCCACAUUCAAUCACCAACAAAUUCUCAUUUCAAUCUAUUCCCUCGAUAAUGACCACAGCUAAUUAAGUCCUCCUUCCACUUGUAAUCUCUCAUCCCCUUGACCCCCACUCUAAAAAACCCACAGUGCUCUUGGUCAAUUUUGCUAGUUUUCGUUCUGUUCGAGGUUUUGGUCUUUUUGUGUUCCAAAUCACCCUAUACCCAUUUGUAGAAAGGCUUCUUGGUCCUGUAAUGAUUGCUCGCAUUGGAGGGAUUAUCACAAUACCUCUGCUGU